rnacentral:rRNA from 1 species
GACGAACGCUGGCGGCGUGCCUAACACAUGCAAGUCGAGCGAGCGGAGUUCUUCGGAACAAAGCUAGCGGCGGACGGGUGAGUAACACGUGGGCAACCUGCCUCAUAGAGGGGAAUAGCCUCCCGAAAGGGAGAUUAAUACCGCAUAAGAUUGUAGCUUCGCAUGAAGUAGCAAUUAAAGGAGCGAUCCGCUAUGAGAUGGGCCCGCGGCGCAUUAGCUAGUUGGUGAGGUAACGGCUCACCAAGGCGACGAUGCGUAGCCGACCUGAGAGGGUGAUCGGCCACAUUGGGACUGAGACACGGCCCAGACUCCUACGGGAGGCAGCAGUGGGGAAUAUUGCACAAUGGGGGAAACCCUGAUGCAGCAACGCCGCGUGAGUGAUGACGGCCUUCGGGUUGUAAAGCUCUGUCUUCAGGGACGAUAAUGACGGUACCUGAGGAGGAAGCCACGGCUAACUACGUGCCAGCAGCCGCCGUAAUAC